GAAUUUUGGACAAUGGCCGAAAGGCUGAUCCAGCAACGCCGCGUGGGGGAUGAAGGCCUUCGGGUUGUAAACCCCUGUUGACCGGGAAGAACGGCCUCGUCAGGAAAUGGGCGGGGAUUGACGGUACCGGUAGAGGCAGCCCCGGCUAACUACGUGCCAGCAGCCGCGGUAAUACGUAGGGGGCGAGCGUUGUCCGGAAUUAUUGGGCGUAAAGGGCGUGUAGGCGGUCUGGUAAGUCGGGGGUGAAACCCCGGGGCUCAACCCCGGGACUGCCUCCGAUACUGCUGGACUUGAGUGCUCUAGAGGGUAGUGGAAUUGCCGGUGUAGCAGUGAAAUGCGUAGAGAUCGGCAGGAACACCAGUGGCGAAGGCGACUGCCUGGGGGGUAACUGACGCUGAGGCGCGAAAGCUAGGGGAGCAAAC
rnacentral:rRNA from 1 species